rnacentral:rRNA from 1 species
UGGCGGUAGGGCCUACCAUGCAAGUCGAGCGGAUGAAGGGAGCUUGCUCCUGGAUUCAGCGGCGGACGGGUGAGUAAUGCCUAGGAAUCUGCCUGGUAGUGGGGGAUAACGUCCGGAAACGGGCGCUAAUACCGCAUACGUCCUGAGGGAGAAAGUGGGGGAUCUUCGGACCUCACGCUAUCAGAUGAGCCUAGGUCGGAUUAGCUAGUUGGUGGGGUAAAGGCCUACCAAGGCGACGAUCCGUAACUGGUCUGAGAGGAUGAUCAGUCACACUGGAACUGAGACACGGUCCAGACUCCUACGGGAGGCAGCAGUGGGGAAUAUUGGACAAUGGGCGAAAGCCUGAUCCAGCCAUGCCGCGUGUGUGAAGAAGGUCUUCGGAUUGUAAAGCACUUUAAGUUGGGAGGAAGGGCAGUAAGUUAAUACCUUGCUGUUUUGACGUUACCAACAGAAUAAGCACCGGCUAACUUCGUGCCAGCAGCCGCGGUAAUACGAAGGGUGCAAGCGUUAAUCGGAAUUACUGGGCGUAAAGCGCGCGUAGGUGGUUCAGCAAGUUGGAUGUGAAAUCCCCGGGCUCAACCUGGGGAACUGCAUCCAAAACUACUGAGCUAGAGUACGGUAGAGGGUGGUGGAAUUUCCUGUGUAGCGUAAAAUGUGGCGUUUGAAAAAAA